UACGUAGGGUCCGAGCGUUGUCCGGAAUUACUGGGCGUAAAGAGCUCGUAGGUGGUUUGUCGCGUUAUUCGUGAAAACUCACAGCUCAACUGUGGGCGUGCGGGCGAUACGGGCAGACUAGAGUACUGCAGGGGAGACUGGGAUUCCUGGUGUAGCGGUGGAAUGCGCAGAUAUCAGGAGGAACACCGGUGGCGAAGGCGGGUCUCUGGGCCGAUACUGACGCUGAGGAGCGAAAGCGUGGGGAGCGAACAGG
rnacentral:rRNA from 1 species